UACGGAGGGUGCGAGCGUUGUCCGGAAUCACUUGGGCGUAAAGGGCGCGUUAGGCGGCCUGAUAAGUAGGGGGUGAAAUCCUGCGGCUUAACCGGCAGGGCCUGCCUUCUAAAACUGGUCGGGCUAGCAGCACGGUAGAGGCAGAUGGAAUUCCCGGUGUAGCGGUGGAAUGCGUAGAGAUCGGGAAAGAACAUCAGUGGCGAAAGGCGGUCUGCUGGGCCGUUGCUGACGCUGAGGCGCGACAGCGUGGGGAGCAAACAGG
rnacentral:rRNA from 1 species